AUGGACAGCAAGAUCGGAGAAGUCACUAGCUGGCUUUCUGAAGCCCCGGUGAUGAGGAGGCCAGGCAAAGCCAGCUCCCGAAACGGGACGAGGGGAGCUCGUACAGAGGCUUACAGGAAGCUGCUGCCUCCGUGGGUCUGCAGCCAAACAUCCGGUGGCGGGCAGGGCCACUGUUGGCCAGCAGGGUCAGCGCGUUGGCAGGAGAGGUGGAAUUCAGUUCCUGCUGGGAUGGAGGAAAGGAAGAACAAGCUAGAACCCGUCGGGCACCUCUGUUUCUGUGUGUCGCCAUACCUGCCCUUGAACUCCUUCAUCGCUUAAGUUCUGUCCCUGUCAGUCUGGCACAAUAUCCCCUCGUGGCCAUCUCUAACUCAGAGCCUGGAGGGAAGGGACUUAUGGAAAACAGAAUCCACACGGUUGACGACAGAACGAUCCAGCAAACUCUCUGAGUAUGAUUUCCAACUCUGUGAGGUAGAGGUCACAACACAGGGUUGUUGUUGUUGUGAUGGGGAUGUUGUUUUGUGGGUUGCUUUGUGGUUGAAAUGGGUUGUUUUGUGGAUGAAAUGAGAUAAUACACGUAGGGCACGCAACCACAACAGCCACCGUGCAUGUACGUUCUGGGUGGGAUUUCUCUGCCCGCCGUCUCCCUGGAUUGCCCCAUCCAAGGAUAUGUUCGCAAAGGGCAAAUCUUUACAGGACAACUUAUCUGCCUGAGUCUUUUUUUAAAAAAAGAUACUCACCCAAAAGAAACCUUGUUUCUGAGGUUUUUCCCUGCCUCUCUUUUCCCUUCUCCCGAGGCUCAAGUGUUCUCUUGCUACCAAGCAGAGCAGAAAUGAUGGCGUCCACAGCAGAUGAGGACAUGGGAAACCGGGGGAAGAAAAGUGAAGGCGGAAAGGGCAUGGGGACUGCCAGGCACGGAGGGUCCUCUCUGCUGGUCAAGUUGUGGCCAUCUGAAGCACCUUGCACCUUGCACGUAGGAGUGUGGUCUCUUUUGUGCAGAGGAUGGGGCCUGGGGACGAGUUAACUGGAGUGGGGAGCUCCAGUCCCUCGCGGUGCACGGACUCCGCAUGAGUUGGAUGCCGUCGCUGUAGAUGAACCUCAUUGAUCUUUCUACCAAGUGCACGCAUGUGUGUUUGCCUGGCUGAGGGAGGCUCCCUCCCCACACCCCCUCUCGAUCCCGCCCUCCAGCCCGGAUCAUCAAUAGAUGUUGGGCAUCAGACACCUGAUUCUUCCACUCUGGAAGAUGAGACGGACAGAGCUUCCACAGAGCACCCGGCCAUCUGACGGUAAUGCCAUCUGACAGUGGAUUCUCCAAGGGGGUGAUCGCCGGUCCUUGGGUGACAUUUACUGUCUGAUCACUGUCUUAGGUUCUUUGUAUAUGUGGAGUACGGUUCCUGACACAGAAUAGAUGUUUGACAGAUAAUGGCUAGUGACCUUCCGGCCGGUCCCUUUGCUGAGGCAAUGAAGGGCCAUCAAUAUCCGACAGAUACAGGAUGGGAUGUUGUGGCGAGCCUUGGGCCUGGCAGAGGAAAUAUAUUUGGGAUAAUACAGCAAUAGCCACUGGUGUAUUUUCACUGUCAUAUUCUAAUAGCAUUUACCAGGAAUGGGAGGUUUUCUUAGCUCCCAAGGCAACGUGAACACUCCUUGGCAAGUUAAAAGGCCUUUGAGAGGUAGGCAGGUCUCCACUUAACGCAGGUAAUAGCUUUCAGUCUGAAGUAUUUCAAGGGUUUGGGGCCAUCUCAGAGAAGUUCUUGAAGAUGUGUCACACAAAGGGAAUCUUUCAUAAAGUCUCACAGAUCCUCUGGGCUUUCAAUGGGAUUCAAGAGGCUGAAAGAUGAAUAUCGUGGGGUGUGUGUGUGUGUGUGUAUGUGUGUGUGUGUGUGUGUGUGUGAGAGAGAGAGAGACAGAGAGAGAGAGACAGAGACAGAGAUAGAGAGAGAGACAGAGAGAGAUCCUGGCUGUUCCUAAAAGUUUGGGUGUCACUGAGGCAAAUUGAAAUAAAAACAACAACAAAAAGAAGUCUAGAGCUUUC
ensembl:lncRNA